GGUUGGGGAUGGGCUCGCGGCCUAUCAGCUUGUUGGUGAGGUAAUGGCUCACCAAGGCGUCGACGGGUAGCCGGCCUGAGAGGGUGACCGGCCACACUGGGACUGAGACACGGCCCAGACUCCUACGGGAGGCAGCAGUGGGGAAUAUUGCACAAUGGGCGAAAGCCUGAUGCAGCAACGCCGCGUGAGGGAUGACGGCCUUCGGGUUGUAAACCUCUUUUAGCAGGGAAGAAGCGAAAGUGACGGUACCUGCAGAAAAAGCGCCGGCUAACUACGUGCCAGCAGCCGCGGUAAUACGUAGGGCGCAAGCGUUAUCCGGAAUUAUUGGGCGUAAAGAGCUCGUAGGCGGUUUGUCGCGUCUGCUGUGAAAUCCCGAGGCUCAACCUCGGGCCUGCAGUGGGUACGGGCAGACUAGAGUGCGGUAGGGGAGAUUGGAAUUCCUGGUGUAGCGGUGGAAUGCGCAGAUAUCAGGAGGAACACCGAUGGCGAAGGCAGAUCUCUGGGCCGUAACUGACGCUGAGGAGCGAAAGGGUGGGGAGCAAACAGGCUUAGAUACCCUGGUAGUCCACCCCGUAAACGUUGGGAACUAGUUGUGGGGUCCAUUCCACGGAUUCCGUGACGCAGCU
rnacentral:rRNA from 1 species